UGCGAAGGGUUCAUUAUUUAAUCCCAAAGGG
rnacentral:rRNA from 1 species